GAUGAACGCUAGCGGCAGGCUUAAUACAUGCAAGUCGAGGGGCAGCGCAGUGUAGCAAUACAUGGGCGGCGACCGGCAAACGGGUGCGGAACACGUACAGAACCUUCCUUUAAGCGGGGGAUAGCCCAGAGAAAUUUGGAUUAAUACCCCAUAGUAUUGUUGAGUGGCAUCACUUGACGAUUAAAGAUUUAUCACUUAAAGAUGGCUGUGCGGCUGAUUAGGUAGUUGGCGGGGUAAUGGCCCACCAAGCCUUCGAUCAGUAACUGGUGUGAGCGCACGACCAGUCACACGGGCACUGAGACACGGGCCCGACUCCUACGGGAGGCAGCAGUAAGGAAUAUUGGGCAAUGGACGCAAGUCUGACCCAGCCAUGCCGCGUGGAGGAUGAAGGUCCUCUGGAUUGUAAACUUCUUUUAUUUGGGAAGAAACCCGGAUUUUCUAAUUCGGUUGACGGUACCAGAUGAAUAAGCACCGGCUAACUCCGUGCCAGCCGCCGCCGUAACAC
rnacentral:rRNA from 1 species